AGACGCUCAUAAUCAACCAUCCAUGCACACUUGUACAAAUAGUUCAGAAAUUUCGGGGUGACAUUAUUUUUCGGAUUAAGUUACCAUGGAUAACAGGCAUUGGCAGUAUUAUAACCCCAACCCGUACUACCACCCCCAUCACCACCCGCACCACCAUCCUCAUAUGAACCCCCACCACCGGCCGGUAUGUUGUCAGCCACGUGCAGAAUAUCAGGAGCAUGUUUUGCUUAUUUAUUUAUUUUUUUUAUUUUGAUUUUGUGUUCUUUUGGGCUACUUUUACAAAUGUAGCGAGGAUCUUUAUCAACUUCCACUAAAAAGCGCUGGAUUUUUACUUGUGUUUGUUCUUUUCUCUCCAAAACCAUGGGAGUUAAUUAUUUUUGGAGUAAUUUAGUGUUUGUUUUCUAUCAAGUUGCAUAUUUGUGAACAAAGCAUGGAACUGUCAUUUGGAUUUGAAAAAAAGUUUAUGAAUUUUAUAUUUUAUUUAUUCCAGUACUCGAUCCCGGCGUCCUAUGUCAGCGGCAUUACCUCCCAGUCUAACGGCCUCACCCCCACGACCCUGGCCAACCUUGAACAGACCUUCAUCGAGCUCCAGUCGGUGCCCACAAAUCUCUCCUCCGGCCAGGACCCCCUUACCCAGAGCGGAUUCGUCCCCCCGAUCGUCGACCCCGCGGGGAGCGAUCGGUCAUCGGACAGAUAUGAUUAUUCCGACAUGAGCGACGCAGACUGGCCCCCCACCAAACGAGGGAGGGGCGGGGACGGUCAGGACCUGACCGGUUAUGACAUGACAACAAGCGUGGGAGGUGGAAGGAAGAGAAAGCGUGAUGAAAAGGUAUGCAGUGUGGCUUUUCUGUCAUAUAUUAUAUUUAGAAAUCGGGAUACACCUUCUGAGAAGGCGAUGAGGAAAAUUUAGAUUUAGGGGAUUUAUCAAGUCAUUUUGAAAUGAUUAAAACUGUAGAAGUUGUAAAUUUUUAGUGGAAGUCUUUUUUUAAAGUUUGUGGCCCGGAUAAGCGCGUUUUGAGGUAGUUAAUUGUUUUUGUGUUAUUCAAUUUGUAGUCGGUAUAUUUUAAUGUACAGUUAAGAUUAGAUGGCCGAUAGUGUAAUGACAUGAACAUCUGCAGGCUAAACACUGAACAGUCAAGUCCUAAGCCGAUUAUUCAACCAACACGGAUAGGAUCAAAGACCCAUCAAAAGAGAUUUAAAAACCGCUAAUGAUACACUUGUAAUUGUCAAGCAUAAUGUAGGUCGGACGACAAGGUUUCAUAAGAUCCCGGCAAGAUAAGAUUAUAGAACGGAAAAGGCACAGGAAAACUUGAGAAGUCCCGUUAAUUCUUUCUCCGGGGCACAAAUAUAACGUUAUGAUUAUUGGCCAAAGAAUCUCGCCAUAAUAUAACGGCUUAAGGCGUCUUAUCGUGUUAGCGUUUGUCAACAUAUUUUCGGGUAUUCGUGGGCCCUCGUUCGGUUCCAUCAAUCACCUUGUCAUAUGACAGCAAAAAUGUUUGCAUUUCUGUCAAAACUAUUUCACUGCGUUAACAUUUUUCCCCUGUGAAAACAUGACAGUGAUAAACAAUAUUGAUACAUGCCAAUCGAUAUUUUUUUAUUUACUAAAUAUUUUCUGUUUUGUUUUUGACAGAUAAGUCCGGAGGAGGAAGAGAGGCGUCGAGUCCGAAGGGAGAGAAACAAAUUAGCAGCAGCAAAAUGUCGGCAGCGGAGAGUUGAUCACACAAACCGCCUUAUUAUUGAAACUGAAAAGCUCGAGAAGGAGAGAGAGUCCAUUGAAGCUGAUAUUCAGACUUUGCAGCAACAGAAAGAUCAGCUUGAGUUUGUCCUGCAGGCUCAUCAGCCAUUGUGUAAAGUAGACUCGUCCCAGCCAUCAGUAAAAGUGAAAUCCGAAAACUCGCACAACCCGUGUGGCGGGCCGAAACUUCCAGUGUCGUCUGCUGGUUCCAGCGUGCGCCCCAGCACCCUUCCUCUCAUUAAGAGAGAGAAGAAGGACGGAGACGUUUCCGUAAGUUCCGCUACUGGAAUUCCAAUCACGACCCCUUCUAGCGGAUUCUUGUUUACCCUGGACAAUAUGGUGGACCACACUGGUCUCACCCCCAUCACUAACGGACCCUCCUCUUGCAGCAGUGAAGUGAAUAGGACUUCCAGUGAAAGCAAUUCCGAAAGCGCUAGUUCACCGACCUUGAUUUCUCUGUGAAUUUCCAUAUAAAAAGCAUCACCAAUCGAAUAUUAAAAAUGUCAACGAUUGCUACGUUUUUAUUUCAUUUAGCUACGGGACACAUUUUUACUUUCUUCAGUUGAAGCUUGCCACCUGUUUAAAAAAAAAUUUCCUUUGUUUCGGAUGCCAGUUCAGUUGAUUGUAUGUAAAUGUUAUAUAUUUAGGUGUAAAUGAUAUUUAUUUUUCAUGAGUGUACAAUGAACUGUUGUAACAUUUGAUAUCUGACUAUUUUGUUUUUUCUGCCAUUGUGUUCGUGGGUCUGUUGGGUAUACGUGCUGAGCACGUUUGGUGCUUCCCUUUUUCUAUUUUGUACAUAGAUACCCUGGAACGUUUUGUUCCAUACUAUUUAUACUUUUUUGUACAUUUGAAUAAAGAUAAGUGAAAAAU
rnacentral:misc_RNA from 1 species